GAUGAACGCUGGCGGCGUGCCUAAUACAUGCAAGUCGAGCGAACAGACGAGGAGCUUGCUCCUCUGACGUUAGCGGCGGACGGGUGAGUAACACGUGGAUAACCUACCUAUAAGACUGGGAUAACUUCGGGAAACCGAAGCUAAUACCGGAUAAUAUAUUGAACCGCAUGGUUCAAUAGUGAAAGACGGUUUUGCUGUCACUUAUAGAUGGAUCCGCGCCGCAUUAGCUAGUUGGUAAGGUAACGGCUUACCAAGGCGACGAUGCGUAGCCGACCUGAGAGGGUGAUCGGCCACACUGGAACUGAGACACGGUCCAGACUCCUACGGGAGGCAGCAGUAGGGAAUCUUCCGCAAUGGGCGAAAGCCUGACGGAGCAACGCCGCGUGAGUGAUGAAGGUCUUCGGAUCGUAAAACUCUGUUAUUAGGGAAGAACAAUUGUGUAAGUAACUAUGCACGUCUUGACGGUACCUAAUCAGAAAGCCACGGCUAACUACGUG
rnacentral:rRNA from 1 species